rnacentral:tRNA from 1 species
GUAGGCAUAGUUUAACAAAAAUAUUAGAUUGUGAUUCUAAAGACAGAGGUUAAAAUCCUCUUGCCCACC